GAUGAACGCUAGCUACAGGCUUAACACAUGCAAGUCGAGGGGAAACGACAUCGAAAGCUUGCUUUUGAUGGGCGUCGACCGGCGCACGGGUGAGUAACGCGUAUCCAACCUGCCCAUCACUUGGGAAUAACCUUGCGAAAGUAAGACUAAUACCCAAUGAUAUCCCACGAAGGCAUCGGAAUGGGAUUAAAGAUUUAUCGGUGAUGGAUGGGGAUGCGUCUGAUUAGCUUGUUGGCGGGGUAACGGCCCACCAAGGCAACGAUCAGUAGGGGUUCUGAGAGGAAGGUCCCCCACAUUGGAACUGAGACACGGUCCAAACUCCUACGGGAGGCAGCAGUGAGGAAUAUUGGUAAAUGGGCGAGAGCCUGAACCAGCCAAGUAGCGCGCAGGAAGACGGCCCUAUGGGUUGUAAACUGCUUUUAUAAGGGAAUAAAGUGGGUCACGUGUGACUUUUUGCAUGUACCUUAUGAAUAAGGACCGGCUAAUUCCGUG
rnacentral:rRNA from 1 species